rnacentral:rRNA from 1 species
GAUGAACGCUGGCGGCGUGCCUAAUACAUGCAAGUCGAACGAGGUGCUUUUGUAGCAAUACGAGAGUAUCCUAGUGGCGAACGGGUGAGUAACGCGUGGAUGACCUGCCCCAAAGUGUGGGAUAACAGUCCGAAAGGAUUGCUAAUACCUCAUGUGGUUAUCGGUUUUAGAAAGCGAUAACUAAAGCAGCAAUGCGCUUUGGGAGGGAUCUGCGUCCCAUCAGCUAGUUGGUGAGGUAACGGCUCACCAAGGCGACGACGGGUAGGGGACCUGAGAGGGUGGCCCCCCGCAAUGGAACUGAAACACGGUCCAUACACCUACGGGUGGCAGCAGUAGGGAAUAUUGCUCAAUGGGCGAAAGCCUGAAGCAGCAACGCCGCGUGUGCGAUGAAGGCCUUGGUCGUAAAGCACUUUCUAAGAGAUGAGAAAGGACAGUAUCUUAGGAAUAAGUCUCGGCUAACUACGUGCCAGCAGCCGCGGUAAAGUCUAGCA